AACCAAAUUACAGUAUGACUUCUGCUCAUGUAUUUUCAUCAGUGUUGUUGUCCAUAUAUCUGUUAGUGAAAAUUCACAGCAUCAAAUUGCUUAAAGUAGGACAUUGCCCAUUUAAGCAAGUUCCUUUAUUCGUAGCCCGCAACCUUACUAGGGUCAGUGCAUGUGAUGGAAUCCUAGUUAAUGUGCAAACACCUUUGCUGUCUAAGCAGUGCUACUCCAUG
rnacentral:lncRNA from 1 species